AGGCCUAACACAUGCAAGUCGAGCGCACUGUUUCGGCAGUGAGCGGCGGACGGGUGAGUAACACGUAGGUGAUCUACCCUUCGGUGGGGAAUAACCCAGGGAAACCCGGGCUAAUACCGCAUGCGGUCAUCGAUUCGUUUCGAUGAUCAAAGCCUUCGGGCGCCAGAGGAUGAGCCUGCGUCGCAUUACCUAGUUGGUAGGGUAAUGGCCUACCAAGGGAGCGAUGCGUAGCUGGUCUGAGAGGAUGAUCAGCCACACUGGGACUGAGACACGGCCCAGACUCCUACGGGAGGCAGCAGUGGGGAAUAUUGCGCAAUGGGCGAAAGCCUGACGCAGCCACGCCGCGUGGGUGAUGAAGGCCUUCGGGUUGUAAAGCUCUGUCGGGAGGGACGAAGUUCUGACGGUACCUCCCAAGAAAGCACCGGCUAACUCCGUGCCAGCAGCCGCGGUAAUACGGAGGGUGCAAGCGUUGCUCGGAAUCAUUGGGCGUAAAGCGUACGCAGGCGGUUCGUUAAGUCGGGUGUGAAAGCCCGGGGCUCAACCCCGGAAUUGCGCCCGAUACUGGCGAGCUUGAGUGCGGGAGAGGGAAGCGGAAUUCCU
rnacentral:rRNA from 1 species